rnacentral:ncRNA from 2 species
CAUCGGGAUAGAGGUGCGGUCCAUGAUCAGUAGGUACUCUUAGCCGGCCGGGCAGAGAGGGGUACUGAAAGGAAUGACCGCCGAAGCGGUAAUUUGCGGCGGAAUUAUCGCUGGGCAUGUCUUGAAGAAAUUCAUGCCUGUCAUCCGGCAGGAUGGAGAGCUAUCUGCAAA